rnacentral:rRNA from 1 species
AGAUUGAACGCUGGCGGCAUGCCUUACACAUGCAAGUCGAACGGCAGCACGGGGGCAACCCUGGUGGCGAGUGGCGAACGGGUGAGUAAUACAUCGGAACGUAUCCUGUAGCGGGGGAUAACCUCUCGAAAGAGAGGCUAAUACCGCAUACGACCUACGGGUGAAAGAGGGGGAUCGCAAGACCUCUCACUAUUGGAGCGGCCGAUGUCGGAUUAGCUAGUUGGUGGGGUAAAAGCCUACCAAGGCUACGAUCCGUAGCUGGUCUGAGAGGACGACCAGCCACACUGGAACUGAGACACGGUCCAGACUCCUACGGGAGCAGCAGUGGGGAAUAUUGGACAAUGGGCGCAAGCCUGAUCCAGCCAUACCGCGUGGUGAAGAAGGCCUUCGGGGUUGUAAAAGUCCCCUUUUAGUUCGGGAAAGUAAAGUCCUAGACCGGUUAAUAACCGAGUAGGAUGACGUACCCAAAGAAUAAGCAACCGGCUAACUCGUAGCCAAGCAGCCGC